rnacentral:misc_RNA from 1 species
AACGCACAUUGCGCCCUGUGGUAUUCCGCAGGGCAUGCCUGUUCGAGCGUCAUUUCAACCCUCAAGCACUGCUUGGUGUUGGGCCCUGCCCGUCGCGGCCGGCCCUAAAGACAGUGGCGGUGCCGUCUGGCUCUAAGCGUAGUACAACUCUCGCUCUAGAGUCCUGCGGUAGCUCGCCAGAACCCCUAAUCUUAUGGUUGACCUCGGAUCAGGUAGGGAUACCCGCUGAACUUAA